rnacentral:rRNA from 1 species
AAUCAACGCUGGCGGCGUGCCUCAGACAUGCAAGUCGAACGAUUAAAGCUCUCUUCGGAGAGUGUAUAGAGUGGCGCACGGGUGAGUAACACGUAAGUAAUCUACCCUCGAGGUGGGGGAAUAACGUCCGGAAACGGACGCUAAUACCGCAUAAUGCAGCGGCACCGCAAGGUGACAGUUGUUAAAGGAGAAAUUCGCUUGAGGAGGAGCUUGCGGCAGAUUAGCUUGUUGUUAAGGUAACGGCUUACCAAGGCUACGAUCUGUAACCGGUCUUAGAGGACGGUCGGUCACAACUGACACUGAAUAACGGGUCAGACUCCUUAACGGGGAGGCAGCAGUCGGGAAUUUUGGGCAAUGGGCG